rnacentral:misc_RNA from 1 species
UUAAGUUCAGCGGGUAGUCCUACCUGAUUUGAGAUCAAAUGUUCGAAGAGCUGUCCCCACUGAGGAAAGACAUUUAUGAGCCGCAGCGAACCUCCAUCACUGAAGGUUACCUGAUGGAAAACCACAAGCGUAGAUAGUUAUCACACCUGUGAUGCCACCAAACACUGGCAAGCUGAUUCAUUUGAGGGGAGCCAACCACA